AUUGAACGCUGGCGGCAGGCCUAACACAUGCAAGUCGAGCGGAUGAAGGGAGCUUGCUCCUGGAUUCAGCGGCGGACGGGUGAGUAAUGCCUAGGAAUCUGCCUGGUAGUGGGGGAUAACGUCCGGAAACGGGCGCUAAUACCGCAUACGUCCUGAGGGUGAAAGUGGGGGAUCUUCGGACCUCACGCUAUCAGAUGAGCCUAGGUGGGAUUAGCUAGUUGGUUGGGUAAAGGCCUACCAAGGCGACGAUCCGUAACUGGUCUGAGAGGAUGAUCAGUCACACUGGAACUGAGACACGGUCCAGACUCCUACGGGAGGCAGCAGUGGGGAAUAUUGGACAAUGGGCGAAAGCCUGAUCCAGCCAUGCCGCGUGUGUGAAGAAGGUCUUCGGAUUGUAAAGCACUUUAAGUUGGGAGGAAGAGCAGUAAGUUAAUACCUUGCUGUUUUGACGUUACCAAAAGAAUAAGCACCGGCUAACUUCGUG
rnacentral:rRNA from 1 species